UACGUAGGGUGCAAGCGUUGUUCGGAAUUACUGGGCGUAAAGGGCUCGUAGGCGGCCAACUAAGUCAUACGUGAAAUCCCUCAGCUUAACUGGGGAACUGCGUGUGAUACUGGAUGGCUUGGAUUUGGGAGAGGGAUGCGGAAUUCCAGGUGUAGCGGUGAAAUGCGUAGAUAUCUGGAGGAACACCGGUGGCGAAGGCGGCAUCCUGGACCAAUAUUGACGCUGAGGAGCGAAAGCUAGGGGAGCAAACGGG
rnacentral:rRNA from 1 species